CCUCGUCGAUCUGCUGCGGGCAGAUCCAGUGGAUGUGGCUGUCGAUGCCGCCGGCGGUGAGGAUCAUGCCUUCGCCGGCGAUGACCUCCGUGCCGGCGCCGACCGGAAUGGUGACGCCCGGCUGGAUGUCCGGGUUGCCGCCCUUGCCGAUCUUCCAGAUGCGGCCGUCCUUGAGGCCGACGUCGGCCUUCACGAUGCCGGCCACCGCGUCGACGAUCAGCGCGUUGGUGAUGAUCGUGUCGGCAAUCUCGGCGGCGAGCUGCUGGCCCUGGCCCAUGCCGUCGCGGAUG
rfam:Azoarcus sp. BH72, complete genome